rnacentral:rRNA from 1 species
GAUCCUGGCUCAGGAUGAACGCUAGCUACAGGCUUAACACAUGCAAGUCGAGGGGCAGCAUUUUAGUUUGCUUGCAAACUAAAGAUGGCGACCGGCGCACGGGUGAGUAACACGUAUCCAACCUGCCGAUAACUCUGGGAUAGCCUUUCGAAAGAAAGAUUAAUACCGGAUGGCAUAGGAUUAUCGCAUGAUAAUCCUAUUAAAGAAUUUCGGUUAUCGAUGGGGAUGCGUUCAUUAGG